rnacentral:rRNA from 1 species
CAAAGAACUUUGAAGAGAGAGUUCAAGAGGGCGUGAAACCACUUGGAAGCAAACAGAUGGACCUGACGUAAAGUCAAAGGAAUUCAGCUUUGCAAUCUACCUCGCUUUGGUGUCUGAUUGAACUACAGACUUCCAGAUGUCGGUGUGGUUGUGGAGUGCAUUUUCUUUUGAUGUGCGCUGGAACUUGUAUUGAUGCUGGAAUUAUAGUAGGGAUUGCCGGCCAACCUAGUUGGUGUCCCAUCUCUGCUGGAAACCGAGUCAAUAGUACAAGAAAUUUGUGGUGCCCGCCUUUACUCAUCUGCAUGGGAAGCAGUGCCAAUGAACUGUGGUGUUAUGUUCGCAUGUCCUUGCGAUGCUUGGCAUUGUGGACUACGUAUAAUGAGUUGGUGCCUGUUCUGGUGUUUUGUCAGUUACCCAUCUGACCCGUCUUGAAACACGGACCAAGGAGUCUAACAUGUGCGCGAGUCACUGGGUUGCAACACCCAAGGGCGCAAUGAAAGUAAAAAUCAGUUUGGCUGGUUGACAUGGGAUCCUUUGGCUUGCUAGAGGUGCACCAUGGUCCCGUUCGUACUGCAUUGUCAGUGGAGCGGAGAUUGAGCGUACACGUUGGGACCCGAAAGAUGGUGAACUAUGCCUGAGCAGGAUGAAGCCAGAGGAAACUCUGGUGGAGGUCCAUAGCGAUUCUGACGUGCAAAUCGAUCGUCGGACUUGGGUAUAGGGGCGAAAGACUAAUCGAACCAUC